UGAGAGUUGAGAGACAGCGGCUGAAGCUUGCGAACGGCGAACCCGAACUGGAACAGCGGGCGAUGAAAACUGAAAUAUAUGGGUUUUGAUUUUUUGAACAAUCUGAAAUGAUAUGCCGAUUUGGGUUUUGAUAUAGUUGCAGAGAGAGAGAGAGAGAGAAGGAGAAGGCAAGUUCAGAGUUGAGAACGAGAAGAGAGAUGGAGGCGGCGAUUGGUGAGGCUGAAACGAUUUGCCCUAAAUAUAUAUAUAUAUAUAUAUAGAUAAUAAAAAAUAUAUAACAUACAUAUAUAUAUAUAUAUAAAAAUUUCCCAAAAAUUUUUUUAUUUUAUUUUUAAACUCAACCCGUCAACCCGACUUAACUCGUCCGAAAACAUUCGAUUCGGGUUAUAACCACAACCCAUGUUGGGUGCAAUUCGGGUUGAGAUUGGGUUGGGACUGGGCUGGGUUGGGCCAACCCAACUUGCAGCCCUAGUAUUUAGCCCCAGUAACGACUACUGGAAGGCCUUCGUCGUUUUACUGUGGGUUAGGAUCAUAUACAUUACAGACCAUUGUCGUUUUACUGUGGUCUGCAACUAUAAUAUAGUAGUGUUAUUACACUAAUGUUGCAUUUUUAAUGUAAAUAUGUUGCGUUGCAUAAUAUUGCACAUAUGAUGAUAUAAUGUGUGGGCAAUGGAAUGUUUUUGUAAGAUUAUAGAAAUGCUUGAUUGACCGUUGCAAAAAAAAUAAAAAAACCUUCCAUGA